CUGGGGCGGCGACCAGCCUGAACCAGCCAUGCCGCGAGAAAGAGGACGGUCUAUGGUUUGUAAACUGCUUUUGUACGGGAAAAAACACUCCUUCGUGAAGGAGCUUGACGGUACCGUAAGAAUAAGGAUCGGCUAACUCCGUGCCAGCAGCCGCGGUAAUACGGAGGAUCCAAGCGUUAUCCGGAAUCAUUGGGUUUAAAGGGUCCGUAGGCGGUUUGAUAAGUCAGUGGUGAAAGCCCAUCGCUCAACGAUGGAACGGCCAUUGAUACUGUUAGACUUGAAUUAUUAGGAAGUAACUAGAAUAUGUAGUGUAGCGGUGAAAUGCUUAGAUAUUACAUGGAAUACCAAUUGCGAAGGCAGGUUACUACUAAUGGAUUGACGCUGAUGGACGAAAGCGUGGGGAGCGAACAGGAUUAGAUACCCUGGUAGUCCACGCCGUAAACGAUGGAUACUAGCUGUUGGGAGCAAUCUCAGUGGCUAAGCGAAAGUGAUAAGUAUCCCACCUGGGGAGUACGUUCCCAAGAAUGAAACUCAAAUGAAUUGACGG
rnacentral:rRNA from 1 species